rnacentral:snRNA from 1 species
GGCUCGCUUCGGCAGCCAUAUAUUAAAAUUGGAACGAUAGAGAGAAGAUUAGCAUGGCCCCUGCGCAGAUGUGUUUUCAAAGUGUGAUUCUUUAAAGGGUUCA